rnacentral:rRNA from 1 species
ACAGCAGCCGCCGCGGGAAAACGGAGGGUGCAAGCGUUAAUCGGAAUUACUGGGCGUAAAGAGUGCGUAGGUGGUUGAUUAAGUUAUCUGUGAAAUCCCUGGGCUCAACCUGGGCAGGUCAGAUAAUACUGGUUAACUCGAGUAUGGGAGAGGGUAGUGGAAUUUCCGGUGUAGCGGUGAAAUGCGUAGAGAUCGGAAGGAACACCAGUGGCGAAGGCGGCUACCUGGCCUAAUACUGACACUGAGGCACGAAAGCGUGGGGAGCAAACAGGAUUAGAUACCCCCGUAGUCCCUGUCUCUUAUAC